AACGGUCUAUACCUGCGGUACCUGCGGAAGGAUCAUUAUUGAGUGUUAACCUACACCCCGUAAAAAAGGGUGUGGUACCUCCUGUCCUUUGCAGGCCCCUUUUAUUGGGGGCUUUUUUAAGACUUUCUGCUUCGGCGGGGUAACUCCCGCCGGAACACCCUCAAAAAAAUCUUGAAUUUAAAAAACCGUUCAGUCCGAGAAAUUUUUUAAAAAUUAAAAAAAAACUUUCAGCAAUGGAUC
rnacentral:misc_RNA from 1 species